GCAAACUUGGUCAUUUAGAGGAAGUAAAAGUCGUAACAAGGUUUCCGUAGGUGAACCUGCGGAAGGAUCAUUAACGUAUCUCCGGCGGGACCCGGUGCGCCCUGCUCCGGCCGAAAGGCCGUGCAGCGGGUGUCCGGUCCCGCACGACCUUCACAAACCCACUGUGCACCUUCACGGCAGAGUGGUCCCCCUCGGGGGGCCCCGAAGCCGCUUCACUAAACUCCAAGUCAAACGAAUGCAAUGCGGUUCAAUGUACCGCCUAAAACAAAAAACAACUUUCAACAACGGAUCUCUUGGCUCUCGCAUCGAUGAAGAACGCAGC
rnacentral:misc_RNA from 1 species